rnacentral:lncRNA from 1 species
GACGGACACUGGUAGCAGUAGCAGGCACCCACACGGACAAGACGGCUGGAGCUAGCGGCAGCGACGGCAAAGCCCUGGCUCCCAGGACUGAGAUCAUAGAAAUGAAUGAUGAAUUAAGAAGCAGGCAAGAAAUUGUGAAUGAAUUGAACAUACUUUUGGAAGAAAAUGAGACUUAAUAUGAGAAUUAAGAAGUUUGGUACAAUUACAAAUGAAGAAUUCAGAAAAUCACCAGGAAACUCUUGUGGAUUCCUUUACUAUUACAUCUGAGCUGAGGUGGGUUUUUUUGUGAAAUGUUUGUUUCUCUACUUUCAAUCAUCAAAGAAUAUGAAGCAUCAAGUUGCUACUUAUCACCCACAGGGAUUAGUAGACCCAUUCCGCUCAAUUUAUUCUCUCCUUGGAAUUUAAUUUAGAAGCAUCGAUAUACUCUUAAAUGUAUAAGAAUUUAUAUCACUCAUAAUUAAAUAUCACUGAAAAAUUUGUUUUUCAAUGUAGUUAAUAUUUGUCAUUCAAAGAUUGUUCCUUUAUAUAUUAGAGAAUCAGGAAUAAAAGUAGUCUACUCAACUCUCCCUGGUUGGUAGUGGGUGAACAAGAGGAGAAAGAAAAUUGUUCAUUCUCAAUGGUAUCAUAUAGUGAAAAUAAUUCUGUUUCCUCAAUAAAGGAUCAUGAUGGUACACAGGUCUAUAUACAUGACUUUAGUCUCAGUCAUGCCAAAAAGAUUUUAUCCAGGUAGAACAAAGAAGGUGAUUUUUAUAAUAAUCUAAUAAUUUUAUUAAUUGCAAGCUUCUACUUUCAUGAUUAUCGCUUAAGAAGUGACUUGCUCGUGCUCCUUGUUUAGUGGAUAUAUUGUUUCCUAAAUUUAACUAGCAAAUAAUUCUCUCUAUCUACAACUUCUCUCAGAAUGCUAAAGAAAGACUAAAAAGGAUGAAUCUUAAAUGCAUGUAUUUAUAGGCAAAAUAAUGAUGACAUGAAGUUUAAAUCGGUUUUCCAAUGGAGGCAAUAAAUGUAUGUUCAGAGUCUUGUCCUCAAGGUUAGUAGCAUACCUCUAUGUCUGGCUGACCAGAGUUUUGGACACAUCUUGUGACCAUGGGACAAAACUACUUUAUCUCGUUGUGGAAUAAAUUCAUUAGCAAUAUGCAUUUAUAAGUUGCACAGUUCAUGUACUUGAUAGUAACAGAUUGGGCUGAUUAUAAAUGAAUCAUUCGGUUAUGCCUUACUGCUUCCAGGCAGUCCCCAAACAUGCUUGGUACUUCUGCUCUCAUAGCUCCCUAGAAUAUACUCCUUUUCUUUCUCCUUUCUUCCCUAUGCUUCCAUCUAUACCUCUCUCCUAGCCAAGUAAACUUUUUUCUUUUUAUUAAAGUAUAGUUGAUUUACAGUGUUGUGUUAAUUCCUGCUCCAAGUAAACUUUUUUUUUUUUUUUUUUGUCAUUUUUGGCUGCCUCAUGUCAUAUGGAGUUCCCGGGCCAGGGAUGAGAUCCAAGCCACAGUCACGACUUAAGCCUCAGCUGUGGCAGCACUGUUCCUUACCCGGGCCAGGGAUGGAAUCUGAGUCCCAGUGCUCCCAGGACGCCCCAACCACCUUGCACCACAGCGGAAACUCCUCCAGGUAAACUUCUAACUCAUCUUUGUAGUUUUGAAAUAUCUGUAGAUUCUUUUCUAGUCGUCUCACCUUUCCCCAGCCAUUUCCACUCUUCAUUCUAAAGAACAUUAAUUUUUCUUUCCACAUACUCAGCAAUUGUGUUGUCACCAGUAGUAUUUGUAUUUGUGGGCUCCUUAAAGGAGAGAUUAUUAUGUGUUUAACAUGUAGCAGACACUUAAGAGCUGUUUAUUGAAUGAAGGAUUAUAUGAAUACUUAUAAUUUCAUCAUUUUCAUUUUUGUUACAUUUAAAUAAAUGUUUGUUUCAUACUUAGAUAAAUUCUGAAAGACCUAUAGAUAGAUUUAGGUAGCCUAAAAGGAGGCAAAAGAUCUGAAAUUUUACUCUGAAAAUUGUAAUACACUGAUAAAAGAAAUCAAAGACUACACAAACAAGUGGAAAGAUAUACUGUGUUCUUGGAUUAGAAGGAUCAAUAUUGUUAAAAUGACCAUCUACCCAAGGCAAUCUAGCAAUUCAGUGUAAUCCUAUCAGAUUACCAAUGGCAUUUUCAUAGAACUAGAACAAAUGGUUUUUAAUUUGUAUAUAAAAUAAAAAAGGCUCUGAACAGCCAAAACAAUCUUGAGAAAGAAAAGCAGAACUUGAAUAAUCACACUCCCUGACUUCAGACUAUACUACAAAGCUACAGUAAUCAAAACAGUAUGAUGUUGGCAGAAAAACAGAAAUAUAGAUCAAUGAAACAAAAUAGAUUACCCAGAAAUAAACCCAUGCACCUGUGGUCAAUUAAUCUAUAACAAAGGAGGCAAGAAUAUACAAUGGAGAAAAGACAGUCUCCUCAAUAAGAGGUGCUAAGAAAACUGGACAGCUACAUGUAAAAGAAUGAAAUUAGAACAUUCUCAACAUCACAUACAAAAAUAAACUCAAAAUUGGAGUUCCCAUUGUGGUGCAAUGAAAACAAAUCCCACUAGUAACCAUGAGGUUGCAGGUUUGAUCCCUGGCCUCACUCAAUGGGUUAAGGAUCUGGCAUUGCCACGAGCUCUGAUGUAGGUUGCAGACAUGGCUCGGAUCCCACAUUGCUGUGGCUGUGGCAUAGGCUGGUGGAUGUAGCUCCAAUGUGACCCCCACCCUGGGAACCUCCUUAUGCUGCAGGUGUGGCUCUAAAAAAGCAAAAAAAAAAAAAAAAAAAA